rnacentral:rRNA from 1 species
AGCAGCCGCGGUAAUUCCAGCUCCAAUAGCGUAUAUUAAAGUUGUUGCAGUUAAAAAGCUCGUAGUUGAAUUUCGGGGUUAGUAGGUUGGUCAUGCCUCUGGUAUGUACUGGUCUCACUGAUUCCUCCUUCCUGAUGAGCCGUAAUGCCAUUAAUUUGGUGUUGCGAGGAAUCUGGACUGUUACUUUGAAAAAUUAGAGUGUUUAAAGCAGGCUAACGCUUGAAUACAUUAGCAUGGAAUAAUGAAAUAGGACGUUCGAUCUUAUUUUGUUGGUUUCUAAGAUUGACGUAAUGAUUAAUAGGGAUAGUUGGGGGCAUUAGUAUUCAAUUGUCAGAGGUGAAAUUCUUGGAUUUAUUGAAGACUAACUACUGCGAAAGCAUUUGCCAAGGAUGUUUUCAUUAAUCAAGAACGAAAGUUAGGGGAUCGAAGACGAUCAGAUACCGUCGUAGU